AGCCACAGCCAUGUCACCCUGCAGCUUAAGACCAGUUACUCACCGAAGUUAAGCAGGGCUGAAGCCUGGUCAGUGCCUGGAUAGGAGACAGCAUGGGAAAACGAGGUUGCUGUUGACA
ensembl:rRNA 5S_rRNA 5S ribosomal RNA